ensembl:miRNA gga-mir-551 gga-mir-551
CCACCAGAGCUGCCCCAUGGCUCCAGAAAUCAAGGGUGGGUAAGACCUUGUAGGAUAACUGGCAGGCGACCCAUACUUGGUUUCAGGGGCUGUGUGGGUAUCGUCAGUGGUGG